UACAGAGGGGGCAAGCGUUGUUCGGAAUUACUGGGCGUAAAGGGCGCGUAGGCGGCCAUUCAAGUCAGGGGUGAAAGCCUGUGGCUCAACCACAGAAUUGCCUUUGAUACUGUUUGGCUAGAGACCGGAAGAGGUAAGUGGAACUGCGAGUGUAGAGGUGAAAUUCGUAGAUAUUCGCAAGAACACCAGUGGCGAAGGCGGCUUACUGGUCCGGUUCUGACGCUGAGGCGCGAAAGCGUGGGGAGCAAACAGG
rnacentral:rRNA from 1 species